rnacentral:rRNA from 1 species
UACGAAGGGGGCUAGCGUUGUUCGGGAUUACUGGGCGUAAAGCGCACGUAGGCGGGUAUUUAAGUCAGGGGUGAAAUCCCAGAGCUCAACUCUGGAACUGCCUUUGAUACUGGGUACCUAGAGUAUGGAAGAGGUGAGUGGAAUUCCGAGUGUAGAGGUGAAAUUCGUAGAUAUUCGGAGGAACACCAGUGGCGAAGGCGGCUCACUGGUCCAUUACUGACGCUGAGGUGCGAAAGCGUGGGGAGCAAACAGG